rnacentral:rRNA from 1 species
GGGUUCUACCGUCGGUCGGGCUACCAAGUCUGUACUGGUGUGUAGAACUUCUACCUUCUGGGGAACCAUCAUGUUAUUAAUUUAGCGUGGUGGGAAACCAGGACCUUUACCUUGAAAAAAUUAGAGUGUUCAAAGCAGGCUUAUGUCUGAAUACAUUAGCAUGGAAUAAUAGAAUAGGACGGUGGUCCUGUUUUGUUGGUUUCUGAAUCACCGUAAUGAUUAAUAGGGAUAGUUGG